rnacentral:rRNA from 1 species
AGGGAAAGAGCCCAAACCAAAGAUUUAUCUUUGGGGUUGCGGACAGAACAUUAACGAGAAAUUAUGGUUAACCGAACACAACUGGAAAGUUGGACCGUAGGGGGUAAUAGUCCUGUAGGUGAAAAUUAUAAUGAUCAAGUUCUGAUCCAGAGUACCACGAGACACGUGAAACCUUGUGGGAAGCAGGGAGGACCACCUCCCAAGGCUAAAUACUACCUGAUGACCGAUAGUGAAGCAGUACCGUGAGGGAAAGG